GACGAACGCUGGCGGCGUGCUUAACACAUGCAAGUCGAACGGAAAGGCCCUGAUUUUGUGGGGUGCUCGAGUGGCGAACGGGUGAGUAACACGUGAGUAACCUGCCCUUGACUUUGGGAUAACUCCAGGAAACUGGGGCUAAUACCGGAUAGGAGCUCCUGCUGCAUGGUGGAGGUUGGUAAGUUUCGGCGGUUGGGGCUGGACUAGCGGCUUAUCAGCCUGUUGGUGGGGUAGUGGCUUACCAAGGCUUUGACGGGUAGCCGGCCUGAGCGGGUGAGCGGCCACAUUGGGACCUAGGGGAGGCCCAGGCUGCGAAUGGUGGGCACCGUGGGGAAGAUUGAAGGAGGGGCGGAAGGCGAGUGAUGAAAGUCCGCGGGCCGGAAGACGCCCUUCGGGGUGUAAAACAAAUUUGCCUGUAACGAAGCGUGAGUGGAGGGUAUGGGUAAAAAAGCACCGGCUAACUACGUG
rnacentral:rRNA from 1 species